rnacentral:rRNA from 1 species
CGGUAUUUUAACCGUGCGAAGGUAGCAUAGUCAUUAGUCUCUUAAUUGGAGGCUUGUAUGAAUGGUUGGACAAGAAGCAAACUGUCUCAAAUACAAUAAUUGAAUUUGACUUUUAAGUGAAAAGGCUUAAAUAUUUUAAAGGGACGAUAAGACCCUAUAAAGCUUAAUAAUUUAGUAUACAAUUAGAUGAGUUAAAAGUUUAAUAUUAUUUAUAUACUGAAUUAUUUCGUUGGGGCGACGAUGAUAUAAUUUGUAACUGUUUAAAUCUAAAAUACAGAGAUAUUUGUGUGUAAUGAUCCUUGUUGUUGAUUAAAAAUUUAAGUUACUUUAGGGAUAACAGCGUUAUUUAUUUUGAGAGUUCAUAUCGACAAAAAAGUUUGCGACCUCGAUGUUGAAUUAAAAAUUCGCCAUGGCGUAGGAG